GAUGAAGAACGCAGCGAAAUGCGAUAAGUAAUGUGAAUUGCAGAAUUCAGUGAAUCAUCGAAUCUUUGAACGCACCUUGCGCUCUUUGGUAUUCCGAAGAGCAUGCCUGUUUGAGUGUCAUGAAAAUAUCAACCUUGACUUGGGUUUUGUGCUCUAGUCUCGGCUUGGAAUUGGGUGCUUGCCGCUUUUACGAGCGGCUCACCUUAAAUGUAUUAGCUGGAUCUGUCUUUGAGACUUGGUUUGACUUGGCGUAAUAAGUAUUUCGCUAAGGACAUUCUUCGGAGUGUCCUCGUUUCUAGGACGCUUGUCCGCUUUCCAAUACAAGUUCCACCUCGUGGACAUGACUUUUUAUUAUCUGGCCUCAAAUCAGGUAGGACUACCCGCUGAACUUAAGCAUAUCAAUAAGCGGAGGA
rnacentral:misc_RNA from 1 species